rnacentral:rRNA from 1 species
CGGAUCGUAAAGCUCUGUUGUUAGGGAAGAACAAGUGCGAGAGUAACUGCUCGCACCAUGACGGUACCUAACCAGAAAGCCACGGCUAACUACGUGCCAGCAGCCGCGGUAAUACGUAGGUGGCAAGCGUUGUCCGGAAUUAUUGGGCGUAAAGGGCUCGCAGGCGGUUUCUUAAGUCUGAUGUGAAAGCCCCCGGCUCAACCGGGGAGGGUCAUUGGAAACUGGGAAACUUGAGUGCAGAAGAGGAGAGUGGAAUUCCACGUGUAGCGGUGAAAUGCGUAGAGAUGUGGAGGAACACCAGUGGCGAAGGCGACUCUCUGGUCUGUAACUGACGCUGAGGAGCGA